rnacentral:rRNA from 1 species
CACGUAGGGCGCGAGCGUUGUCCGGAAUUAUUGGGCGUAAAGAGCUCGUAGGCGGCCUGUUGCGUCCGCUGUGAAAGCCCGGGGCUUAACCCCGGGUCGGCAGUGGAUACGGGCAGGCUAGAGGUAGGUAGGGGAGAAUGGAAUUCCCGGUGUAGCGGUGAAAUGCGCAGAUAUCGGGAGGAACACCGGUGGCGAAGGCGGUUCUCUGGGCCUUACCUGACGCUGAGGAGCGAAAGCGUGGGGAGCGAUCCGG